rnacentral:rRNA from 1 species
CCUACGGGUGGCAGCAGUCGGGAAUAUUGCGCAAUGGAGGAAACUCUGACGCAGUGACGCCGCGUAUAGGAAGAAGUUUUUCGGAAUGUAAACUAUUGUCGUUAGGGAAGAGACAGGACAGUACCUAAGGAGGAAGCUCCGGCUAACUACGUGCCAGCAGCCGCGGUAAUACGUAGGGAGCGAGCGUUAUCCGGAAUUAUUGGGUGUAAAGGGUGCGUAGACGGGAAGACAAGUUAGUUGUGAAAUCCCUCGGCUUAACUGAGGAACUGCAACUAAAACUAUUUUUCUUGAGUGCAGGAGAGGUAAGUGGAAUUCCUAGUGUAGCGGUGAAAUGCGUAGAUAUUAGGAGGAACUCCGAUUGCGAAGGCAGCUUACUAAACUGCCACUGACAUUGAUGCUCGAAAGUGUGGGUAUCAAACAGGAUUAGAUACCCUUGUAGUC